UUUAUCCUGGAGGGUUUAUGCUUUAGGAAGCUGGCCAGACACUUUGUCCUGGAGGGUUUAUGCUUUAGGAAGCUGGUCAGAUACUUUAUCCUGGAGGGUUUAUGCUUUAGGAAGCAGGUCAGACACUUUAUCCUGGAGGGUUUAUGCUUUAGGAAGCAGGUCAGAUACUUUCUCCUGGAGGGUUUAUGCUUUAGGAAGCUGGUCAGAUACUUUCUCCUGGAGGGUUUAUGCUUUAGGAAGCAGGUCAGACACUUUAUCCUGGAGGGUUUAUGCUUUAGGAAGCAGGUCAGACACUUUAUCCUGGAGGGUUUAUGCUUUAGGAAGCAGGUCAGACACUUUAUCCUGGAGGGUUUAUGCUUUAGGAAGCAGGUCAGAUACUUUAUCCUGGAGGGUUUAUGCUUUAGGAAGCAGGUCAGACACUUUAUCCUGGAGGGUUUAUGCUUUAGGAAGCAGGUCAGAUACUUUAUCCUGGAGGGUUUAUGCUUUAGGAAGCAGGUCAGAUACUUUAUCCUGGAGGGUUUAUGCUUUAGGAAGCAGGUCAGAUACUUUAUCCUGGAGGGUUUAUGCUUUAGGAAGCAGGUCAGAUACUUUAUCCUGGAGGGUUUAUGCUUUAGGAAGCAGGUCAGACACUUUAUCCUGGAGGG